GUAGGUGGCAAGCGUUGUCCGGAUUUAUUGGGCGUAAAGCGAACGCAGGCGGGAAGAUAAGACAGCUGUGAAAGCCCUCGGCUCAACCGGGGAACGGCAACUGAAACUAUUUUUCUUGAGUGCAGAAAAGGAGAGUGGAACUCCAUGUGUAGCGGUGGAAUGCGUAGAUAUAUGGAAGAACACCAGUGACGAAGGCGGCUCUCUGAUCUGUAACUGGCGCUGAGGUUCGAAAGCAUGGGUAGCGAACAGGAUUAGAUAACCUGGUAGUCCAUGCCGUAAACGAUGAGUGCUAAGUGUUGGGAGGUUAACGCCUCUCAGUGCUGCAGCUAACGCAUUAAGCACUCCGCCUGGGGAGUACGACCGCAAGGUUA
rnacentral:rRNA from 1 species